CAGCAGCCGCGGGAAUACGAAGGGUGCAAGCGUUAAUCGGAAUUACUGGGCGUAAAGCGUGCGUAGGCGGUUUGUUAAGUCUGCUGUGAAAUCCCCGGGCUCAACCUGGGAAUGGCAGUGGAUACUGGCAAGCUAGAGUGUGUCAGAGUAUGGUGGAAUUCCCGGUGUAGCGGUGAAAUGCGUAGAGAUCGGGAGGAACAUCAGUGGCGAAGGCGGCCAUCUGGGACAACACUGACGCUGAGGCACGAAAGCGUGGGGAGCAAACAGGAUUAGAUACCCGAGUAGUCCCUGUCUCUUAUAC
rnacentral:rRNA from 1 species